UACCAGCACCCCGAGUGGUCGGGACGUUUUAUUGGGCCUAAAGCAUCCGUAGCCGGUUCUACAAGUCUUCCGUUAAAUCCACCUGCUUAACAGAUGGGCUGCGGAGGAUACUAUGGAGCUAGGAGGCGGGAGAGGCAAGCGGUACUUAGUGGGUAGGGGUAAAAUCCGUUGAUCCAUUGAAGACCACCAGUGGUGAAGGCGGCUUGCCAGAACGCACUCGACGGUGAGGGAUGAAAGCUGGGGGAGCAAACCGGG
rnacentral:rRNA from 1 species